GGUCCCUCUUAGUCGUGCUUUCAUUUCUAUCUUCCAAAUGUGAUCCGAAUCUCAGCAAUGGAAGCAUUAGAUCAAAGAUUGAAGAUCUAAACUGGGAUCACUCAGUGCAGGAGUUGCCAGGAGAUUCACGGACUGAUGCGAUUCCCCAGCAGGUGAGUCUUGCCUUCUGCUAAACUGGAGAACCCUGAACUUGUGGCGUGGUCAGAACCAGUUGCUGAGUUGCUUGAUUUGGAUCUGAAAGAGGGUUGUUGGCUAGAUUGUUUAGGCAAGCUACGUCCACAACAACACAACUUGGGUCAUUUAGAUCAAUAAGGGACGUCCCCGUAUUCAAGGAACGAUUUCAACAUGACAAUGACUUGUGCUUGGUUAUUCAAUUUGUAAAAGUGGAGCCAAUGGUUAUGUGAUCCAUUGUGGUCAUCUGAUGAGAUC